CAAAUUAAAGCUUGAGUAGUAAAGCAUUUCAUUUACAUUGAAAAGGUAUUGUGCAAAUCAAUUUAAUUUGA
rnacentral:tRNA from 1 species